UACGAAGGGGGCGAGCGUUGUUCGGAUUUACUGGGCGUAAAGGGCGCGCAGGCGGCUACAUUUGUCAGGCGUGAAAGCCCCGGGCUUAACCUGGGAACUGCGUUUGAUACGGUGUGGCUAGAGUUCGGGAGAGGAGAGUGGAAUUCCCAGUGUAGAGGUGAAAUUCGAUAGAUAUUGGGAAGAACACCGGUGGCGAAGGCGGCUCUCUGGACCGUAACUGACGCUGAGACGACGAAAGCGUGGGUAGCAAACAGG
rnacentral:rRNA from 1 species